CUUCUCUAAAGCAGGGCCACAUCCCAGGCUAUCCGCAAGAUCAGGAUUAAAAAAUAAAUCUGUCAGGAGCAGCUGCUGCUCAGGACACAAAUAGCAACAGUUGCUACGGUGCUUAGUUCUCUCUCUUGCUGGAUUCCACUGGGUAUGGUCACACACUUAUGUUCCAGCCUCAAAUGCUGACAGAGUAUUAAUAAGGCUCACACUGCCCAGAAUCAUGUGACAAGGAGACAUGACUCUAGAAAGAACAUCUCCCCACCUACAAAUGGUAACCUAAACAAAGAAGUAUGCUUCUAACCAAAUGGCACUACAUACAAGAUUUAAAUAAUAGCCAACAUUCAGGGAGCACUUACUCCAGAGCUAAUUCUGCAAACGAAAAAAAACUGUGACACUGAUAAAAUAUUAAUGACAACAGCACUUGAGCUCAACAGAAGCCCAUGAACUCUACCAUUACUUCCAUGAACAAUGAACUAAUGUUUUCAAAUGUGCCAAAGGAUUUUUCUCUCUGAACUAACAACAGGUUUAUUCCUCAUGCUGUAGCUGACAUUCAUUACCUUAAUAGAGCUGGAGAAGAGUAAACAACGAACAGGACAGCAUCUUUCACGUAAAGGCUUACUUGAAGACCCUUAUCCAAGAUAAAUGCAAACGCCUUUAAAAAGACUAUCACAAAACGUUCCACAGGUUUUAACUUACUGAUGACCCACAAGACCAUGUUCUCUUUUUCGAGUCCCUUCAAGUCAAAAUUAGCCUUACAAAGUCUUAUAUUAAGACCCCCAAUUUUAGCCCCCUUUUCCUUGCCUUCUUUCCAAGUUUACUACCUCAGCAUAAGGAUGCAGAAACAAUGUUUUAAUUACUAAGCCCUGGAAAACAAGGCAGUCAAAACAAGAUUUGUAUUUAAAAGCCUUUUUAUUCUCCAGAAUAAAUUUGUUUAUCUAACAUCUCAAAGUCUCUAUGUAGCAAUUAUACUGUUGUUGGCAAACUACUGAAGAUUUUGCCUGCAACUACAAUUAACAUAUCAUUGUGGCAACACUGUGACUUUUUAUUAACUUUUCUAACACAGCUCGCUUGGGGCUUGUUAAAAAUCCCAGUGACAUCUUCAGCAUAAACUUCCUCUCCCAAAAGCUUCUUGUACCCCAAAUUUAAAAAAAAUUUGGCACACAAUAAAAGUAUUUUGUACACCAUUUAUAUUCCAAAACCAUAAAACCAAAACCCAUAAGCAGCCCCCUCCCUUACUCAGAAUAAUAUAUUUCUGGAAAUAUAUUACAAUGGCAUAAAGCAAAUUGCCAUACAGCAGAUUUGAGCAAAAGAUUUCCAAUCAUAAAGUUCCUUAAUCAUUUAAAAUAACAAACUUAGAUUCCAAAUUUUAUAAACAGGAUAAAUGUAUCGUAUGUGUUCACUAUUUACUCAAUCCCAGAGUAUUAAAAAUAAAUAUACAAUAGGAAAAAAAAAUUACCAACUUUGUAGUGUCACAAUGUUAUCAACUGGGUAUAAAAUAAAUACGCUAGCUAUAACAAACCUUAAAUUCUCAAUUAACAACAAAUCUGCUCCUCCUAGGCAAAUUUUGAAUGGUUUUGAAGGGAGACGAUUUCGAAGGCCUAGCUGUCGUUCAAUCUAAGUGGCACAAAGAUGUCUGAACUAAUAACAAUGCCCUUUUUAUUCACAAUUUCCCUGCAUCAAGAAGGGACAUCAAAAUAAAUUUUAAUCUAAAAGUUCAAAUUAGACAUAGACUUUCAGUAUUACUACACACAAUAGUAAAACAAUAAAUGUUUUGAGAGGCAAUACGUAUAGCACGGAGGUUGACAGUGAGGGCUCUGGAGUCAGACAGGGACUUCCUUUUCCAGUCCUCCCAGUUCCUAAACGUGUGGCCCCAGGCAAAUUAGCCAGUAUCAAUGGCCUCAUCUGUGAAAUGGGGAAAAUAAGAGUAUCUGCCAUGGGAUUAUCGCGAAGAUUAAACGAGUUAAAAUCCGUAAGUGCCUAACUGUGGCUGGCACAGUUUAAGUGUUCAUCGUUGUUGUUGUUGUUAAUCACUAAUCAUGGUGUUCCCCUCCCACUCAACCAAAAGGCAAUUUAAAAAGUAAAACCUGCUUUUGUUUUUCCCUUCAUCCAUUUUGCCUCCUCAGGUUUAUUAACAUUCACAAAAGGAGCCCUUCAGUAUCAGACCAGAACACUGUCACAGGGAAAUAGUAAAUACAGUCAAAUCAUUUCCUCAUUUACACAGCUUCUGCUAAUUCUGGCCAUACAGUCUUCUGUAUGUUCUGCCAAAACAAAAAGGCUUUCCAGACAUUCCCUACCUUUUGCCGCCAAACCCCUCCCUCUAUUAUUUAGCUGUCUCUCGUCAAUGCUUUCAUAACAGUCACCACACUUCUUUGAUGAUUUAUCUCUAAGACAAGACUAAACUCUCUGAGAGCCCUGUGGCCUCCUAGCCCACAGUGGCUGAACAGCAAAAUCCUAAUUUCCUAUAGAUGCUCUCAAAACCUCAAUUCACAUUUCUUAUUCCUACCACCUAUAUGUACAGACCAUUCAUCCCUAAACAAUGCAACUAAGAAGAGUUCUUAGCCCACUAGAAAUGUUUUUCUUAAACUAAGCACAAUUGUUCAUAUACUAUUAAAAAUCUCUGAAUACCUACUUUGCCGACUGUACGACCGGAAGUAGUGGUCCCUUUCACAGUCUCACUAACUCCACUGCACUGCAGACUUUGCUAGCUCCCAUUACAGCGCUUCACACUUCACUGGGCAACUACCAAAAGCAAUCAGCAUCGUGUUAUUGGCAUGGACUUGAAAAAAUGACUCCAAAACAUCUCCUGAGAAUUGCAAAGAAGGCAUUUAAAAAAAGAAAACCUGGGUAAAGUUACCUUCCCCUUUGAAAAAAACAACAAAUGCACAUAUAAAGGUUGCAUGAAGUACAGUUUGGAUUUAAUUAAGGCAGCCUCAAAAGACUAGAACAAUAAAAUGCAAAGCAGCAAAGAAAAAGGACUGACUAGCGGCCCGCCUGGUGACGCAGUGGUUAAGUUCGCACAUUCCGCUUCUCAGCGGCCUGGGGUUCGCCGGUUCACAUCCCGGGUGCGG